UGAGCCACGUGUUGCUCUCUGGGCUUUCAUCUCUUUGAGAAGAGAGAGAGAGUUGAAGCGAUAUCAUCCAUGGUGGAAGGGAAGCAGAGCUUCAGGCAGAUUAACGAGAUCGGUUAGCACCUUUUCAUCGAUUAAGUUCCCUCGAUCUCUCGAACUACGAUCGGUUUGAUUUGAUCCGUCAUUGUUGAAACCAUGGGUAAUUGUUGCGGGCCGGCGAGAUCGUCACGGUUUUUCUCUUUGUUUAUCUCCAGAUUGGUCUAUAGAUGUUCUAUGUCUUAGUUUAAGCUCGUGUGCUGCUCCUUCUUCCUCGUCCCUUGCCGUAAAACCCUUCAAAGGCUCAUUUUUCUCUUGUGGUUUUGGUUUUCAAGCUCGCUAAUGGGCUCCAGAGGACACACUAAAUUCUGAGCGUUAUGAGCGGUAUGAGUUACUGGAGCCAAUUACCAAAGAAACGUUUCAGAUGAAGAUAAGCAGCUUGAAGUGAAGAAGGAAGUAGUAGUUGAUGUGAAGCAAUAUUCAGGUGUUGAGCUAAUUAUCAAGUCUGGUUUUGGUUCUACUCUGCCUUCAAAAGAUGAUUUGAUUAGAACAUAUGAAAAAUUUGGAGCUUUGGACAAAGAGAGAAGCUGUACGUUCGAGAAUGACUCUUGUGCUCGCGUUAGCUUCUUGAAUGUAUCUGAAGGAGAAGGAGCCUUUUACGAGUCACUAGAGAAAUGCCCGUUUGCUACUACUUCCACCGUUACAUUCAGCUCAAGUAUCCUUCUUCUGAGAACAGAAAGGGGGUGAUGGAAAUGGAGUGGUUGAAAAAGAAGCUUGAAGAGAGCUUUGCUUGAUGAAUCAGAGGGAGGAGAGGUUAAGGAAAAGUUGAAGAUGAGACUUGAGGAAGAAUCAAGAAACUUGCUAGACAAGGUGUAUGAUAAUCAAUAAGUAACUCAUAGACGAGAACACCAUUACUGGUAAUUUUAUGGGGGAUUCUUCUUCUCCGUUUAUUUUUGUUCUCUUCCUCUCUAUGUUGUAUUUCUAUCUAUAUUUUUGCAUCAGUAGUGAUUCAACUAACAAAAAGAGACGACUCUGUUUAUCUAGAAACUGAUCAUCCCUUUUGAAAAAGGUAAUUCUUUUUUUUUAUAAAGUUACAUCACUUAUCAAGAAUAUAAUAUAAGAUGUGUAUGCUAAUCAAGUGUAAUUUAUUUAUUGUGCGUGAUCCUCUUCGGUACGUCUGAGAGCCAAAGAUAAUCUCAAAGCUUUUUUAAAACUUUGAAACUCAUUGACGUUGUCCUAUCAAUUAUAUAACUAGAUUCUGACCCGCGCUUAAAAAGCGCGGGUAUUUUUUGGUUGACCGUAAAGCUAAAUAUUAUUUAAAUUUAAACUUACUAUUAUAUAUCUAUAAUAUUUAAAAGCUGUUAUAUUAUUAUUAUUUUCAUCUGCUCGGUCUUGUACAAUAUUUUCAUUGAAUUUUCAUAUCCGAGUCAGACUUGUAGUCGAACCGAUGGAUCUAUUUACUCGUAUAUAAGUGAGGGUAGGAUAUAAUAAAACGAACAUGGUAAAAAUACCUCACAAUAAUAUUAAUCUUUUUGAGACAAUUGUUUUAUUAGUAGAAAUCUAUAAUAUAAAAUAAAUGAUCUGUUUACAUUUAUUAUUUUUUUCAAUUCUGUUUACAUGUAUUUAUGUAUUAAUUGGUGUUCAAAAUAUUGUAUUUUUUUAAAGAAGUAAUUGAAAGUGGGUCUGAAGUUAAAUGGGAUUAAAAUUGUUUUUAACUUAAAUGGGUUUAGUAGUAAAAAUCGAUUUGUUAAGUUAAGGGCCCAAGCCCAUCAAAAAAUUUGUACCUGCCGACAAGAAAGGAUUAAGAUCGUCUCUUGUUUUGACAGAUUGAAACUCUAAAAAAAAAAUUCGGAGAUGGCGAUUCCCGUCCACUCGUUCCUCUCGGAUUUGAUCUGGUGUUGGGUCCAUGUGAUUUCCGAUGACUUCCGAGUACAAAUCGGUCAGAUUGUAAUACUGAAACAAUACCCGACAAACAUGUAAGCGUUCGCUGUUUGAAUGUUAACUCUUUUUUUAUCGUUGUAUAAAAAAUCAUUGUUGGUUCUUAUUACACGAAUC